UCAAUAAGCGGAGGAAAAGAAACCAACAGGGAUUGCCCUAGUAACGGCGAGUGAAGCGGCAACAGCUCAAAUUUGAAAUCUGGCUCUUUCAGGGUCCGAGUUGUAAUUUGCAGAGGGCGCUUUGGCGUUGGCAGCGGUCCAAGUUCCUUGGAACAGGACGUCACAGAGGGUGAGAAUCCCGUACGUGGUCGCUGGCCUUCGCCGUGUAAAGCCCCUUCGACGAGUCGAGUUGUUUGGGAAUGCAGCUCUAAAUGGGAGGUAAAUUUCUUCUAAAGCUAAAUACUGGCCAGAGACCGAUAGCGCACAAGUAGAGUGAUCGAAAGAUGAAAAGCACUUUGGAAAGAGAGUCAAAUAGCACGUGAAAUUGUUGAAAGGGAAGCGCUUGCAGCCAGACUUGCCUGUAGUUGCUCAUCCGGGCUUUUGCCCGGUGCACUCUUCUAUAGGCAGGCCAGCAUCAGUUUGGGCGGUUGGAUAAAGGUCUCUAUCACGUACCUCUCUUCGGGGAGGCCUUAUAGGGGAGACGACAUGCAACCAGCCUGGACUGAGGUCCGCGCAUUUGCUAGGAUGCUGGCGUAAUGGCUGUAAGCGGCCCGUCUUGAAACACGGACCAAGGAGUCUAACAUCUAUGCGAGUGUUUGGGUGUCAAGCCCGAGCGCGCAAUGAAAGUGAACGGAGGUGGGACCCCUUUAGGGUGCACCAUCGACCGAUCCAGAAGUCUUCGGAUGGAUUUGAGUAAGAGCAUGGCUGUUGGGACCCGAAAGAUGGUGAACUAUGCUUGAAUAGGGUGAAGCCAGAGGAAACUCUGGUGGAGGCUCGCAGCGGUUCUGACGUGCAAAUCGAUCGUCAAAUUUGGGCAUAGGGGCGAAAGACUAAUCGAACUAUCUAGUAGCUGGUUCCUGCCGA
rnacentral:rRNA from 1 species